UUAGAUACCCUAUUAUUUUUAUUGUAAAAUUUAAAACCUGAGUAUUAGUAGUUAAGGUCUUGAAACUUAAAGAAUUUGGCGGUAUUAUAGUCUAUUUAGAGGAAUCUGUUAUGUAAUCGAUAGUCCACGUUGAACCUUACUUAUGUUAUUUCUUGUAUACCGCUGUUUAAGAAUAUAUUUUUAGAUAAUUUUCUUAAUAUGGAAUUAAUUAAAAUUUCAGGUCAAGGUGCAGUAAUAUAUAAGUUGAGUAAUGGAUUACAAUAAAUUUUAUUUAUUAUGGAUUGUUAUUGAAAUAUAAUUUGAAGGUGGAUUUAAUUGUAAUUUUAUAAAGAUUAUUAAAAUGAUUUAUAGCUCUAUAAUAUGUACACAUCGCCCG
rnacentral:rRNA from 1 species